rnacentral:rRNA from 1 species
UACGGAGGGUGCAAGCGUUGUUCGGAAUUACUGGGCGUAAAGCGCGUGUAGGCGGCUUUCUAAGUCUGAUGUGAAAGCCCGGGGCUUACCCCCGGAAGUGCAUUGGAAACUGGGAGGCUUGAGUACCGGAGAGGAGGGUGGAAUUCCUGGUGUAGCGGUGAAAUGCGUAGAUAUCAGGAGGAACACCGGUGGCGAAGGCGGCCCUCUGGACGGAUACUGACGCUGAGACGCGAAAGCGUGGGGAGCAAACAGG